AUGAGUGCCGGAGACAACAGCAUCUGUGAGGGUAUGGAGGGGACCAGCUGCAGGCGUAAACAGGCUCUUCAGGAUUUUAUAGGUGAUGUCAAUCAUCUGUACAUCAAAGAAGGGCCGUAUGGACGAAUCAGAGAAAAACACACAACACACACCUGUAAGACAAAGUUGUGUCGUGUGUGUGUGUGUGUGUGUGUGUGUGUGUGUGUGUUUGACAGUGGACGUAGCUGGACUCGUUGCAAACAUGUCAGUAAGAGUCUCUGCAUACUACAGUCCAUACUACAUACUUCCUGCUGAUGUUUAUAGAUGUUAUUCAGAGCAGGGUUAUGAUCGUUAAAUAAAACUGUUGUUGUUAAUUGAAAUAAAGCUGAAAUAAAAAUAUAAAUAUACUUAUAUAAUAUAAAAUUUGUUUCAAUUCCUGAUUUUCAGUUAAUGUUAAAGCGACACAAAGGGUGUUAUGGUUUAUGUUCAGUGUAAAAAUGUUGUAAUUAUUCUUUCUCAUCAAAUUAUGAGUCAGGAAGGUGUUGAAACGCCAGCUCAUUCGUCACACUAACUCAUGUGGAGCGCAGCGUAAUGAAAACACACUGCAUACUCUCCAAAUACUAUCAACAACAGUAUAGCAUUUCAGUAUAGCGUGUCAGUAAGAUUAGCAGUGCUUUGUGUGUUACUUGUGCAGUGCUUUGUGUGCGUUACAUGUGUGCCAUGUUUCGUGCGCAGUGCUUUGUGUGUUACAUGUGUAUUAUGUGUGUUGUGUUUUGUGUGUGUUUCAUGUGUGUUUUGUAUGUUAAGUGUGUGUUACAUGUCCAGUAUUACAUAUGCAUUAUGUGUUCCGUGUGUAGUGUUUUGUGUGUGUAGUGUUACGUGUUCCGUGUGUAGUGUUUU
rnacentral:lncRNA from 1 species